AACGAACGCUGGCGGCAUGCCUAAUACAUGCAAGUCGAACGAACACUUCGGUGUUAGUGGCGCACGGGUGCGUAACGCGUGGGAAUCUGCCCUUGGGUUCGGAAUAACUUCGGGAAACUGAAGCUAAUACCGGAUGAUGACGUAAGUCCAGAGAUUUAUCGCCCAAGGAUGAGCCCGCGUAGGAUUAGGUAGUUGGUGAGGUAAAGGCUCACCAAGCCUACGAUCCUUAGCUGGUCUGAGAGGAUGAUCAGCCACACUGGGACUGAGACACGGCCCAGACUCCUACGGGAGGCAGCAGUAGGGAAUAUUGGACAAUGGGGGCAACCCUGAUCCAGCAAUGCCGCGUGAGCGAUGAAGGCCUUAGGGUUGUAAAGCUCUUCUACCCGAGAUGAUAAUGACAGUAUCGGGAGAAUAAGCCCCGGCUAACUCCGUGCCAGCCGCCGCCGUAA
rnacentral:rRNA from 1 species